GUAUUUGUUUGUUUUAGAUCUGCAUUACACAGAUUGGUAUAACAUUCAACGACGUUGUUUUAAUAAAUGAGAGGGGGGGAGAGGUGGUUAUUACACACACUCUUCAGUUCACAGGGAGAGAGAGAUAAAUGAAAUGAGGGGUUUGGGUCCUGGAGGACACCAUAAAUUCAUUAAUGAUCCUUCCGCAGGUUCACCUACGGAAA
rnacentral:misc_RNA from 1 species